UAAGUCACUUAUCAGUCUGUGUUGGGUGGGUGGUGCCUGACAGAUGGUGCAAUUUCUGGGUCCACCCAGUGCGCGCAGUCUUCUUUCUUCCUCAGAAUGGAGUCGAAAUCUGCUUGUAAAAUGGUGUCUCCUAUAGCAACGCCUAGCCUGCAAAAAAAAACCACUGUUUUAUUCAAUACUGGAGUCGCUUAUAAUAGGGCAUAGUCUGAUCUUAACACAGUACGUUUAAUUGAACCAGGCUACUUACAAGAGAGUGAGGGCUGGCUAAUCUUGGCUGUCAACCUGACUACAGCUGGAAGCGCCUACAACCCAAGCAGGUGAGCACAUCAGUGAGAAAUUCUCUUGACUGGAUCAUUUGAGAUAGGAAGACCUGGGCUAAAUCUGGGCCGUGCCUUCUGGUGGCAGCCCAUAUACAAGGAUUUGGAAGAAAGAAGCUUUUGGCUUCUUGCCUGCUUGCCCUCACUUUCACUGGCAAGUUCAUCUGUCCUGUUGCUGAGUCAUUCCUUCUCUGGUGUUAGAACCUACUUUCUUUGAGAUUCCAACAUAAACUGAAGACCAGCCAAGAUAUCAGCCUUGCCGAGUGAACACCUACCGGAUUCUUGGUCUUUCGUUUGAGAGAUGCCAUUGCACUAGCCUGAGCACAGCCUGUAAGCCACUCUAAUAAAUCCCUUUUGAUAUAUA